rnacentral:piRNA from 1 species
CGUGGGGGUAGGGGGGAUGCUGC